CAAGGGAAGAGAACGGGGUAAUAAUAUAAACUAACUCUGCCCUUAUUGACAACUGACCCUCGCAAAGUAAUGUAAAAUUAUAAAGCGGUCAUGCAAUCUCUCCAUGAGUGCCACAUCAUCGCGCUUUUUCCAAUACAUUAAUUUCAUUUCAUGGUUUCCAAUACACACCAAUGGGCAUUUCGUAUUUCCAAUACAUUAGUUUCAUUUCGUGAUAACAUUUAAUUUAUAUUUUAAACUGUUCACACACAAUGCAAAGUUUCAUUGGUUGUUGUUUCCAAGGCAAACAAGCCAUAGCAUUAAAAUGAUAAAUGUGCCCAUGAAUAGCUAAAUAUCAUCAUUACUACCUCCUUUCUUGUUUAUAAGCCCACACGCAUAUCAAAAUUCAAAGUUUUCAAUCUUUGACCAACAAUUAAGCCAAUAAUUUUUUAUUUUUGUAAUGUAAAUUUGACAUGGUUGGAUUUGUAAUCAAAUGUACUCUCUAAUGAUUACAAGUUUAUAACCAUAAAUAUGAAUGGAGGGAGUAUAUAGGAAAUUUUGGUUUGGUAAACAGUAGUUAAAGAAGACGAUCUAGUGUACAUGAAAAGACAGAUGCAGUUGUUAGUCAGGAAGCUCCUUUUUGUAAAAACAUCAAUACACCAAAACUUCACCAACCACUUCCACUCCCUAAUCAUUUCUUUCUUUGAACUGCAACCUCUGCCUUAUCCAUUACUUCCCCCUUCUCUAUCUAUUUCGAGUCCUUCAUUGUUCUCCCUCUACCUUCUUCUUUGGCUGUCCAGCCAAUCUCUACUCAAUCAUGAGUCCUUCCUGGGCAAAUCUUAUGCUAGAUCUUGUUGUGAGCAUCACCAAUAAGAUCGGUGAUGCAAGAAAAUUUCAUCAGGUUCAAAGCAGUAUAUAAGAGUUGGAACUACACUCGUUUAGGUGAGGCACGCCCAUUUGAC
rnacentral:lncRNA from 1 species